UCACGUGCGGUUACAGCCGCCAGGGUGAGGCCGCCGUCGUCGCCAAGGCUGUUUGGGGCUGUGACUGUGGGAGGCACCGGAGCGAUGGCGGUGGAGACUCUGUCCCCGGACUGGGAGUUCGACCGCGUUGACGACGGCUCACAGAAAAUUCAUGCUGAAGUCCAGCUUAAGAAUUAUGGGAAAUUUCUUGAGGAGUAUACCUCUCAAUUGAGAAGAAUUGAGGACGCACUGGAUGAUUCAAUUGGAGAUGUUUGGGAUUUCAAUCUUGAUCCUAUAGCAUUAAAGCUUUUGCCUUAUGAACAGUCUUCCCUUUUGGAACUCAUAAAGACUGAAAACAAGGUCUUAAACAAAGUCAUCACUGUUUAUGCUGCACUUUGUUGUGAAAUCAAGAAAUUAAAAUAUGAGGCUGAAACUAAAUUUUAUAAUGGUCUCUUGUUUUAUGGAGAAGGAGCUACAGAUUCCAGCAUGGUGGAAGGCGAUUGCCAAAUUCAGAUGGGGAGAUUUAUUUCAUUCUUACAGGAACUGUCUUGUUUUGUUACGAGGUGCUAUGAAGUGGUGAUGAAUGUAGUCCAUCAGUUGGCUGCCCUCUAUAUCAGUAACAAGAUUGCACCCAAAAUUAUAGAGACAACUGGAGUUCAUUUUCAGACUAUGUAUGAGCACUUGGGAGAGCUGCUAACAGUUCUGCUUACCCUGGAUGAAAUUAUUGAUAAUCAUAUCACACUGAAAGACCACUGGACUAUGUACAAAAGGUUACUGAAAUCUGUCCAUCACAACCCUUCAAAAUUUGGAAUUCAGGAAGAAAAACUAAAGCCAUUUGAAAAGUUCUUGCUGAAGCUAGAAGGACAGUUACUUGAUGGAAUGAUAUUUCAGGCCUGUAUAGAACAGCAGUUUGAUUCUCUCAAUGGAGGAGUAUCUGUGUCAAAAAAUAGCACUUUUGCUGAAGAAUUUGCACAUAGUAUUCGCUCAAUUUUUGCAAAUGUAGAAGCCAAACUUGGAGAACCUUCUGAAAUUGACCAGAGAGACAAGUAUGUAGGAAUUUGUGGACUCUUUGUAUUGCACUUUCAAAUUUUUCGAACGGUUGAUAAAAAGUUUUAUAAGUCUUUAUUGGACAUUUGUAAGAAGGUACCAGCCAUCACUCUGACUGCUAAUAUUAUUUGGUUUCCCGACAAUUUUUUGAUCCAGAAAAUACCAGCAGCUGCCAAACUUCUGGAUAGAAAAAGUCUUCAAGCCAUUAAAAUAUACAGAGAUACUUUCCUACAGCAGAAAGCUCAGUCACUUACCAAAGAUGUACAGUCUUACUACGUCUUUGUGAGCUCAUGGAUGAUGAAAAUGGAAUCUAUUUUAUCUAAAGAGCAGAGAAUGGAUAAAUUUGCUGAAGACCUCACCAAUAGAUGUAAUGUUUUUAUACAGGGCUUUUUAUAUGCAUAUAGUAUUAGUACCAUUAUUAAAACCACAAUGAAUCUCUACAUGUCCAUGCAAAAGCCAAUGACCAAAACAUCAGUUAAGGCAUUAUGCAGGCUUGUUGAACUUCUCAAGGCAAUAGAACAUAUGUUCUACAGGAGAAGCCUGGUUGUGGCUGAUUCAGUCUCACAUAUAACACAGCACCUUCAGCAUCAGGCUCUUAAUUCUAUUUCCGUGGCCAAGAAAAGAGUAAUUUCUGACAAAAAAUAUAGUGAACAGCGUCUUGAUGUGCUCUCUGCUCUAGUUUUGGCUGAAAACACUCUAAAUGGACCAAGCACAAAGCAACGACGACUUAUUGUUUCUUUGGCACUAAGUGUUGGCACACAAAUGAAAACAUUUAAAGAUGAAGAACUCUUUCCACUUCAAGUAGUCAUGAAAAAGCUGGAUCUUAUCAGUGAACUUAGAGAAAGAGUCCAAACACAAUGUGACUGUUGUUUUUUAUACUGGCAUCGAGCUGUCUUCCCAAUUUAUUUAGAUGAUGUAUAUGAAAAUGCUGUUGAUGCAGCCAGAUUACAUUACAUGUUCAGUGCUUUACGUGACUGUGUACCUGCUAUGAUGCAUGCAAGGCAUUUAGAGUCCUAUGAAGUACUUCUGGAUUGCUAUGACAAGGAAAUCAUGGAAAUUUUAAAUGAGCAUUUGCUGGACAAGUUGUGCAAAGAAAUAGAGAAGGACCUGCGACUUUCUGUGCAUACUCAUUUAAAGCUGGAUGACAGAAACCCUUUCAAAGUUGGCAUGAAAGACCUGGCCCUUUUUUUCUCUCUGAAUCCAAUUCGGUUUUUCAAUCGUUUCAUUGACAUUCGAGCUUAUGUAACUCACUACCUAGACAAGACUUUCUACAAUCUAACGACAGUAGCUCUUCACGACUGGGCCACUUACAGUGAAAUGAGAAAUUUAGCUACUCAGCGUUAUGGAUUGGUUAUGACUGAGGCACAUCUUCCUAGUCAGACUUUGGAACAGGGCCUGGAUGUCUUGGAAAUUAUGAGAAACAUUCAUAUAUUUGUGUCUCGAUACCUCUAUAAUCUCAACAAUCAAAUUUUUAUUGAACGAACAAGCAAUAACAAACAUUUGAACACUAUUAACAUUCGGCAUAUUGCUAAUUCAAUUCGAACACAUGGCACAGGAAUCAUGAAUACAACAGUUAAUUUCACCUACCAGUUUUUGAAAAAGAAGUUCUAUAUAUUUAGCCAAUUUAUGUAUGAUGAACAUAUCAAAUCCAGAUUGAUUAAAGAUAUUCGGUUUUUCAGGGAAAUCAAGGACCAAAAUGAUCAUAAGUAUCCUUUUGAAAGAGCAGAAAAAUUCAAUCGAGGCAUCAGAAAACUUGGAAUAACCCCAGAGGGACAAAGCUACCUUGAUCAGUUCAGGCAACUCAUCAGCCAAAUUGGUAAUGCUAUGGGCUAUGUACGGAUGAUAAGAUCUGGUGGCCUUCAUUGUAGCAGCAAUGCCAUUAGAUUUGUACCUGAUCUUGAAGAUAUUGUAAAUUUUGAAGAACUAGUAAAAGAAGAAGGUCUUGCAGAAGAAACAUUAAAAGCAGCUAGGCAUUUGGAUUCCGUCCUCAGCGAUCACACACGAAAUUCUGCCGAAGGCACAGAGUAUUUCAAAAUGCUUGUGGAUGUUUUUGCUCCAGAAUUUCGAAGGCCGAAGAAUAUACAUCUCCGAAAUUUCUAUAUCAUUGUUCCACCUCUGACCCUCAACUUUGUAGAGCAUUCCAUUAGUUGCAAGGAGAAAUUGAAUAAAAAAAAUAAAAUUGGAGCUGCCUUUACUGAUGAUGGCUUUGCCAUGGGUGUGGCUUAUAUUCUGAAGCUUUUGGAUCAGUACCAGGAAUUUGACUCACUUCACUGGUUCCAGUCUGUUAGAGAGAAGUACCUGAAGGAGAUAAGAGCAGUUGCUAAGCAACAGAAUGUGCAGUCAACUAGUCAGGAUGAAAAACUACUACAAACCAUGAAUCUCACUCAGAAGCGACUGGAUGUUUAUCUACAGGAAUUUGAAUUGCUCUGUUUCUCACUGAGCAGUGCAAGAAUUUUCUUCAGAGCUGACAAGACUGCAGCUGAAGAAAACCAAGAAAAGAAAGAGAAAGAAGAAGAGACUAAAACAAGCAACGGAGACCUGUCCGACAGCACUGUGUCUGCAGAUCCUGUUGUCAAAUGAUACUGAUGGUAUGCGUUGCCCCCAUGAAAUCAUCAGAAUUGUAUAUGAAAUGGAUGUUAAUAAGCUAAUAACCAAGUGUUUCCUGGGUCACAUCUCUGGGAAAUAUUUAGAUGCUGCAACUCUCUAAGGCAGUGCUCUAAAGUUAAGUCCAUUCUUCUUCUGAAGGCUCUACUUUUCAAAGGUUGAGAAUGAGAUUUUAAAAUCAGAUUUUUGUCUGGACUUUGGCUAGAUGUGCCUGGGAACAGUUAUUUGAAAUGAAGUUUUAGAAGGGUUAACUUAAAUUCCUAAACUGCCACCUCAGACCUCUUGUAAUCUACAUGAAUGUUUAUAAUUUGUAUUUGUAUAGGUCUUUGAUCCAUAUUUGUCUCAGUCAUUGGAAAUUCAGUGCAUAUACUAUGUACAGCCAGUAAUGUUUAAACAAAAGGAAUUGAGCCUGAAAUUCAUGAAGCAUACAUAUCAAUAUUCUUAUAAAAGGGAUAUAUGAAGAUGGUUUUGAUACUAGAGGUGAGGCAUAAGUGUUAUGUACCCUUUUUGUACAGUGUGAACUGAUUCAUUGUUAAUUUCAUGUGGCUCACUAGAGCUGCUGCUGUCUGUGGUGAGAUAUUUUAUAACUAGUUUACAUUGCUUUGAGAACAUUUAACCUCCAAAAACUGCUUUAAAUUUAAGAUUUACUUAAUACUUAAGGGGGAAGAAAAUACAGAUAAAGCCAUAGAGUCCUGCUUGAAGCUUUACUUUUGGCUGAAGGCAUUAUGUAUGAUAGCAGAGAAAAUUGAAUGAAUUCUUAUUUCUACAUCCAAACUCAGGUUUCUUCUACAUUAGGUUGAACUGAAGUCUUGAUGAUGGUUUGGGCAGACUUUUUCUUUAAACCAAGUAUAAUCUAAGAAAUCAGAUUAAGCACUGUGCAGGCUUUUAAAAAAUUACCACUGUGAGAAUAAAGUUCUAAUAAACUAAACCACUUACUGAUUUAAAAGGUACAGAAAGAUUUUGAGUAAAUUUAGUUCCUGGCAAGCUGUUAGCUUUAUUUUUGUAAAGAUUAUAUCAGUUAAAUGGUUAAUCAUGGCCUAUAAUCUUUUAAUAUAAUACAGUGAUACCUUUACAGUGAAAACAAAAAAGUUUAAAACUUUAUGUGUAAUACUAACAUCAUUUUAGGAAAUACUUGAUUUUUCCAUUGCACUUGCCUAUUAAGCAUUUCUUUGGGUAAAUCCUGCAAGUAAUUCUAACAUUGUUGUUUGAUUUCCAGCUUUUGGAACGGGUGUACAAUGCCCUGUCUGUAUUCAUUGAUCACGGUCAGGGUAACUUUCCCAGCUCAAGAUAACACUUUCACUGUUAAAAUUCAGAAGAAACAGAAUAGUUUACCAGAUAGCGCCGGUUGUUCCUAUGAGUGGAGACAUACUCAGGAAAGUAGAUGAAAUUUAUCUCCCAAUCAGUGCAGAUCUGAUGUCGUAAUUCUGGGACCACCUUUAAGGACUGUACAUUCUGUAGUGCAGAUGGUUAAACGUGCUUUCAAAGGGGAAUCAGUUGAAGCUGUAAGAAAAUCUGAAAACGAAACUGAAUGUACCUCAGAGCUUGACUGGUGACCAUCAGAUGGGAUUCUGUCAUACGGAAGAUGUUAUGAAUAGCCCGAGCAGCCAAUACUUGUCUCAUCGCUUCGUAAAUCACUUCAGUAGUGUUGUCUGUUUUAACUGCCAUUGAUCCCAAAAACCGAACUAUAAACAUCUGUUGCAAAAGAGAAUCUGCAAGAGAGCAUUUUCUGCUCAGGAUCAUUUCACUUCCUGCCUGUCAAUGCACAUACCAGAAGCACAUGUGCUGGUCUGAGAACAGGCUGAAGACCUAGGGUUUGCCUUGCUUUCUGGAGGGCUUUCUACCAAAACUUCUGAAUACUCUGCUUUUAUAUAAGCCACAAAUUGCCAAAGCUCUGAAUCUCCUAUUGUCCAUAUUUUGUCUGUUUGGAACUAUUCAUUAGACUAGAAAAGCACCUCUUUUUCUUCAUCUAUAAAAUGAAACCACAUGAACAUCCUUCUAGCAUGAAAACUCUAGGUUGACUACAUGUAAGUGGCAGUAUAUGCAUCUUACUUUUUCUCUGAAAAUAAGAGCUUUUCCACUAGACAAUAGAAAAUUCAUUCAUUACUUUGGCCCACUGUAAAGUCCUCUUAUAGAAGAAAAUGUAUUUGAAGAAAUAAGACCUGAUGUUGGGUUUCAUUCAAAUCAUGCACAUCAUUUAUUACUGAAGGGCAGUGAUGACGUUCCAUAAACUAAUGGAGAUUGCAGAACUAUUAGCAUAUUUGAUGCUAAUGAGCUGACAGUAUUGGCUUCUUGAUAAUGGCACGUAACCUGACAAACUGAAUAACAGCAGCCACACCUGGAAGAUCAUGAAGAAGGUUUAGAAGAUCUUUUUUUUUUUCUGUAAGAACAGUAAUUCACUUAUCCACCAUUUGAAACUAAGAAGCCUACUUUUUCUUCACUUGUCCUCCCUAUGAGUAUCCUUGCCCCUAAAAAAUAAGGGUUAAAAAAACUUACUAGGAAAAUAUAACUGAUAUGUUGUAAAUGGUUACUCCCAUAUGAAGCUAGUUUUUACAAGUUAGAAAGUUUUUUAUGUAGACAGUUAAACUGUGGACUGUGUGAGAAGUCAGCUAGAUAGUCAGAUUUGAUGCAGAGCCUAUUAACAUUUUUUCUUUUUUUACCUAAAGCUGUAAGGAAUGCCAGUU